GCAAACAGCAGCCUCCACCCGCCACCCCAGGAACCUCGUGCUUCUAGAUCUCCCACCACAGCUCCACUGGAUGGAACCGCCCCAGCUUCCUCCAGCCCAAACUGCUGCACCCACCACCCAGAGAAAUGGAAGUCAAGGACUCAGCAGUCCAAGGCAGCCCUUCUGAAGCAACUUCAGGGGCUCAGCAAAUAUUUGUUGAGAACCUCCUCUGUGCCUGGCUGGAUCAGGGUGGGGCUGUAGAGCUGCACAUCAUAGUCUGCAUCCGGGUCAGCCCUGAAUCUCAGGCACUGGAAGGGUUACCCUGAUGGGCAGGACCCACUCCCAUCACUAAGAGAACAUCAAAAGGGCAGGUGUGGGGGUGGAUAGGAAGAUCAGGAUCUCUGAAAGGGAAAUUUGCAUUGUGGUAACCUACAGACUCCACCUGGACCCAUGAUUCAUGACUCAACCAGUCCACCCAGAAGCUGACUCAGAGCAUAAGGAGCAUUUUCCACACCCCUAGGAUUUCAUCUCCAACCAAUCAGCAUUCCCCAUUCUCUAGCCCCUGUCCACCAAACUAUUCUUUAAAAACCUUAGCUCUAAGCUUUAUUUAUUUAUUUAAGUAAUACACUCCUGUCUUCCACUUAGCUGGUUCUGUAUUUAUUAAACUCUUUCUCUACUGCCAUACCGCUAUCUCAGUAAAUUAGGGAAAUUUCAGUC
rnacentral:lncRNA from 1 species